CCUACGGGAGGCAGCAGUGAGGAAUAUUGCUCAAUGGACGAGAGUCUGAACCAGCCAAGUAGCGUGAAGGAUGACUGCCCUAUGGGUUGUAAACUUCUUUUAUAUGGGAAUAAAAUGUUCCACGUGUGGGAUUUUGUAUGUACCAUAUGAAUAAGGAUCGGCUAACUCCGUGCCAGCAGCCGCGGUAAUACGGAGGAUCCGAGCGUUAGCCGGAUUUCUUGGGUUUAAAGGGAGCGUAGGUGGAUUGUUAAGUCAGUUGUGAAAGUUUGCGGCUCAACCGUAAAAUUGCAGUUGAAACUGGCAGUCUUGAGUACAGUAGAGGUGGGCGGAAUUCGUGGUGUAGCGGUGAAAUGCUUAGAUAUCACGAAGAACUCCGAUUGCGAAGGCAGCUCACUGGACUGCAACUGACACUGAGGCUCGAAAGUGUGGGUAUCAAACAGGAUUAGAUACCCCUGUAGUC
rnacentral:rRNA from 1 species